AGCAACAACAAUGCAUUGGAAUGUGAUGUUUUGGUUUUUGAUUUUCAAAGUUUUGAAGGACAAAAGACUCAUAAACAAUUUUUGAUAAUGAGAGGUGAAGUGCCUAAGUUUUCGCGUGUGAGUUUCUUGUUUUUUCUACGCAACUUGUGCACUGAAUGAGGGUGAAUUCCUACGAAUCUAGUACAUACAGCCCAAGGAAAUUGAGAUGCCAAAUUUCUCAAGACGUACGACAGGCGUCAUUAUGAGUAAGAGGCUGUUUCCUAUGGAAAAAGGUUGCAUCACGUAAGGGAUGACGCCGCCAGGCCAGCUUGCUUCCUUUGAGCGAAUCACGUUUCUACCCUUCUCAGGCGACUCCAUGAUGUCACCCUCCAACAAACCGCUCAACUCCCACGGGUGGCCAACGUCAUAUGGGUGCCAGCUCAUCAGAUCAUUGGCUGAAAUUCAUCUCAAAGCUCCGUGGUGGAUCGGCGGCAAAUAGUUAAUUCCUUGGGAAAAGGUGCAUCGUACCAUGAUGUUGAGAAAAAGGCAGCAAAUAAGCAACAUUUUCAAAAGGAAAUUUACUCCUAGUCUUCUCGACAAGCGUUCCCUUUGCAGUGAAUUGCAGUCAUGCUCGUUUAUAGCAUUUUUACCUUGAUAAGACUUAAUUAUUUCCAGCGCAAACAACUUCUUGGUGAUUAUUUUCCAUAAUUUUCAAAGAUAUCGGACAAAAAUUAUAUAUAAUAAAAUAAAUAAUAAAGUUUUUAGGAAAACUGCAUCAAAAAUAAGAUAUAAUUGCAAAAUGUUUUAAAAGAAAAUCAAUAAUUUUUUACGAUCUGAAA